rnacentral:rRNA from 1 species
GGAAGUAAAAGUCGUAACAAGGUCUCCGUUGGUGAACCAGCGGAGGGAUCAUUACCGAGUUUACAACUCCCAAACCCCUGUGAACAUACCACUUGUUGCCUCGGCGGAUCAGCCCGCUCCCGGUAAAACGGGACGGCCCGCCAGAGGACCCCUAAACUCUGUUUCUAUAUGUAACUUCUGAGUAAAACCAUAAAUAAAUCAAAACUUUCAACAACGGAUCUCUUGGUUCUGGCAUCGAUGAAGAACGCAGCAAAAUGCGAUAAGUAAUGUGAAUUGCAGAAUUCAGUGAAUCAUCGAAUCUUUGAACGCACAUUGCGCCCGCCAGUAUUCUGGCGGGCAUGCCUGUUCUCGCGUCAUUUCAACCCUCAAGCACAGCUUGGUGUUGGGACUCGCGUUAAUUCGCGUUCCCCAAAUUGAUUGGCGGUCACGUCGAGCUUCCAUAGCGUAGUAGUAAAACCCUCGUUACUGGUAAUCGUCGCGGCCACGCCGUUAAACCCCAACUUCUGAAUGUUGACCUCGGAUCAGGUAGGAAUACCCGCUGAACUUAAGCAUAUCAAUAAGCGGAGGA